ACCUAAACAGCUGAACACUUCUCAUCUUAACAUAGCAGCCGCAGCAGCCAUUUGAGAGAAAGAGAGAGAGGCUCGUCGGUGUAGAUCUGGAACGACCCCGUCCAACCAACAACGAUGGCAAUCCGUUUCCGUCUCCAUAGACCACGUCCAGCCCAUCCUUCUCCGCUUUCAGUCCGACCCCGUUGCCGCCCCUCGCUUAUAGAAUAAAGACUGAAGCUUUUGCUUCUGGGUAGCAUGAUGAUGGAGACUGAUGAAACAUGAUCUGAUAUGACUUUGUAAUUGAUGAUAUUCAUAUUUUAGACUUUGUAAUUGAGAUAUUGGAAUAGUCAAUUACUGAAAAUUAUGGCAUCAAUCCUACAUGUGAACAUUUUGCUUGUGAUCUACUUGGUCGAGCUGGGUUACUGAAGGAGGCCAGGAAUUUGAUUGAUGCAAUGCCCUUUAAGUCAAAUGCUGCUAUCUGGUGGGCUCUUCUCGGUGCUUGUCGGCUUCAUCGUGAUUAUAAUUUAGCAGGAUUUGCAGCAAGAAAUUUGCUUGAAUUAGAUUUAGAUGAUUCUGGCAGUUAUGUCCUUCUAGCUAAUACAUAUUCAAAUUGUGGACAACUAGAAUUAUUCAUAUAUAUUUUUUUUUUCGAGUGUUUA